rnacentral:rRNA from 1 species
GAUGAACGCUGGCGGCGUGCCUAAUACAUGCAAGUCGAGCGAACAGACGAGGAGCUUGCUCCUCUGACGUUAGCGGCGGACGGGUGAGUAACACGUGGAUAACCUACCUAUAAGACUGGGAUAACUUCGGGAAACCGGAGCUAAUACCGGAUAAUAUAUUGAACCGCAUGGUUCAAUAGUGAACGACGGUUUUGAUGUCACUAAUAGAUGGAUCCGCGCCGCAUUAGCUAGUUGGUAAGGUAACGGCUUACCAAGGCAACGAUGCGUAGCCGACCUGAGAGGGUGAUCAGCCACACUGGAACUGAGACACGGUCCAGACUCCUACGGGAGGCAGCAGUAGGGAAUCUUCCGCAAUGGGCGAAAGCUUGACGGAGCAACGCCGCGUGAGUGAUGAAGGUCUUCGGAUCGUAAAACUCUGUUAUUAGGGAAGAACAAAUGUGUAAGUAACUAUGCACGUCUUGACGGUACCUAAUCAGAAAGCCCCGGCUAACUACGUG